rnacentral:rRNA from 1 species
UACGAAGGGGGCUAGCGUUGCUCGGAAUCACUGGGCGUAAAGGGUGCGUAGGCGGAUCGUUAAGUCGGGGGUGAAAUCCUGGAGCUCAACUCCAGAACUGCCUUCGAUACUGGCGAUCUUGAGUCCGGAAGAGGUGAGUGGAACUCCUAGUGUAGAGGUGGAAUUCGUAGAUAUUAGGAAGAACACCAGUGGCGAAGGCGGCUCACUGGUCCGGUACUGACGCUGAGGUGCGAAAGCGUGGGAGCAAACAGG